ACGGGUGAGUAAUGUCUGGGAAACUGCCCGAUGGAGGGGGAUAACUACUGGAAACGGUAGCUAAUACCGCAUAACGUCGCGAGACCAAAGUGGGGGACCUUCGGGCCUCACACCAUCGGAUGUGCCCAGAUGGGAUUAGCUAGUAGGUGGGGUAACGGCUCACCUAGGCGACGAUCCCUAGCUGGUCUGAGAGGAUGACCAGCCACACUGGAACUGAGACACGGUCCAGACUCCUACGGGAGGCAGCAGUGGGGAAUAUUGCACAAUGGGCGCAAGCCUGAUGCAGCCAUGCCGCGUGUAUGAAGAAGGCCUUCGGGUUGUAAAGUACUUUCAGCGGGGAGGAAGGCGAUGUGGUUAAUAACCGCGUCGAUUGACGUUACCCGCAGAAGAAGCACCGGCUAACUCCGUGCCAGCAGCCGCGGUAAUACGGAGGGUGCAAGCGUUAAUCGGAAUUACUGGGCGUAAAGCGCACGCAGGCGGUCUGUCAAGUCGGAUGUGAAAUCCCCGGGCUUAACCUGGGAACUGCAUUCGAAACUGGCAGGCUAGAGUCUUGUAGAGGGGGGUAGAAUUCCAGGUGUAGC
rnacentral:rRNA from 2 species